rnacentral:rRNA from 1 species
GACGAACGCUGGCGGCGUGCUUAACACAUGCAAGUCGAACGGUAAGGCUCCAGCUUGCUGGGGUACACGAGUGGCGAACGGGUGAGUAACACGUGGGUGACCUGCCCUGCACUUCGGGAUAAGCCUGGGAAACUGGGUCUAAUACCGGAUAGGACCGCACCGUGAGGGUGUGGCGGAAAGUUUUUUCGGUGUGGGAUGGGCCCGCGGCCUAUCAGCUUGUUGGUGGGGUAAUGGCCUACCAAGGCGGCGACGGGUAGCCGGCCUGGGAGGGUGGACGGCCACAUUGGGACUGAGACGCGGCCCAGACUCCUACGGGAGGCAGCAGUGGGGAAUAUUGCACAAUGGGCGGAAGCCUGAUGCAGCGACGCCGCGUGGGGGAUGACGGCCUUCGGGUUGUAAACUCCUUUCACCAUCGACGAAGGGUUUCUGACGGUAGAUGGAGAAGAAGCACCGGCUAACUACGUGCCAGCAGCCGCGGUAAUACGUAGGGUGCGAGCGUUGUCCGGAAUUACUGGGCGUAAAGAGCUCGUAGGUGGUUUGUCGCGUCGUCUGUGAAAUUCCGGGGCUUAACUCCGGGCGUGCAGGCGAUACGGGCAUAACUUGAGUACUGUAGGGGAGACUGGAAUUCCUGGUGUAGCGGUGAAAUGCGCAGAUAUCAGGAGGAACACCGGUGGCGAAGGCGGGUCUCUGGGCAGUAACUGACGCUGAGGAGCGAAAGCAUGGGGAGCGAACAGGAUUAGAUACCCUGGUAGUCCAUGCCGUAAACGGUGGGCGCUAGGUGUGGGUUUCCUUCCACGGGAUCCGUGCCGUAGCUAACGCAUUAAGCGCCCCGCCUGGGGAGUACGGCCGCAAGGCUAAAACUCAAAGGAAUUGACGGGGGCCCGCACAAGCGGCGGAGCAUGUGGAUUAAUUCGAUGCAACGCGAAGAACCUUACCUGGGCUUGACAUAUACAGGAUCGCGCCAGAGAUGGUGUUUCCCUUGUGGCUUGUAUACAGGUGGUGCAUGGCUGUCGUCAGCUCGUGUCGUGAGAUGUUGGGCUAAGUCCCGCAACGAGCGCAACCCUUGUCUUAUGUUGCCAGCACGUUGUGGUGGGGACUCGUAAGAAACUGCCGGGGUUAACUCGGAGGAAGGUGGGGAUGACGUCAAAUCAUCAUGCCCCUUAUGUCCAGGGCUUCACACAUGCUACAAUGGUCGGUACAGUGGGUUGCCAGUCCGUGAGGGCGAGCUAAUCCCGCAAAGCCGGUCUCAGUUCGGAUCGGGGUCUGCAACUCGACCCCGUGAAGUCGGAGUCGCUAGUAAUCGCAGAUCAGCAACGCUGCGGUGAAUACGUUCCCGGGCCU